UUUUAUGGAUGAGCAAAUAAUGUGGUUUCUUGAGAUGUAAUCUAUUCCUGGUGAAGAUGCUGUGAA
rnacentral:pre_miRNA from 1 species